UACGAAGGGGGCUAGCGUUGUUCGGAAUCACUGGGCGUAAAGGGCGCGUAGGCGGCUUUGUAAGUCGGGGGUGAAAGCCUGUGGCUCAACCACAGAAUUGCCUUCGAUACUGCAUGGCUUGAGACCGGAAGAGGUAAGUGGAACUGCGAGUGUAGAGGUGAAAUUCGUAGAUAUUCGCAAGAACACCAGUGGCGAAGGCGGCUUACUGGUCCGGUUCUGACGCUGAGGCGCGAAAGCGUGGGGAGCAAACAGGG
rnacentral:rRNA from 1 species